CCCAUUUUAAGCCGUGUAUGGACGUAUUCCACCCACACUUCAAAGUCAACCAUUCCUUCUCCAGCAUCAAAUAGCCUGCAAUCCAGAGCGUCAUUGUUAUCUACUCUUAAAUAGAAUCUCAAACACGCUCAACAAAGAAUGGUUGCUCAAACACAAACUGGGAGGAAAGACAUUACCUUUGAACCAGGAGAUUGGGUUUUGCUGAAGUUACAACCAUAUCGGCAAGUCACUGUGGCUCGUCGUCUCUGUCACAAACAAAGCCCACGGUAUUUCGGACCAUACAAGGUGGCUCGACGAAUUGGAGCCAUGACUUAUAAGCUCUUAUUACCCUCCGCCACACGAAUACACCCUGUAUUCCAUGUGUCUCUCAUACGAUGGUUCUAUGGUGAUCCUGUAGCAAAGUUUGUUCCACGCCCAACAAGCACAUAAAUAGUGGAAGGAAUAACAGAGGUCCAAAGGGAACAUCACAUCCCAGAAAUUAUAGAGGAGACUGAACAUAGGAAAUUUUCAAAUGAACAGGAGGACAAAACCUCUUUGGAGAAGAAAGAUAAAAACCUAUCUACAACUCUUAACUCAACUCUUAAGUCCCCUAUGACCAUAUCUUAUUUUGAGAGCAGGGCAGCUGGGAAAAUUACCGGGCAUCCAUUGGAUCCCAUGUGUAGGAGGGAAUUAUCAUCCAACGGCUCCAAAAUAAAGUCGUUUCCUAUCUUGAAAUCAUCUACCCUUACUGGGUCCACACAGGUCCAACAGUUGCUUUCUAGUCCACACACGGUUCCCAUGCAGAACCAGCCCCAACCUUCGGAUCUCUGCCCUUCUGCUGUAUUGUGGCCACGUGUUGACCAUCCUACACACAUUGUAUAUCUUCCAGCUCCCACACAGGUAUCGGGCCCUGCAACAGACCAAUAUGGGGAUGCCAACACAUUAUGCAAAGGACAACUUGUUCCUGCAAUAAAUCAGAACACUGUUGCACCACACAGAAAACUACUAGACGUUGAAGACCCACGUGCCCCAGGUCCUGGGAAAAAGUCAUCCCCUCAUUUAAUUCAAAAGCCCCGCCUUCCACAAAAAUCAUCCAUUUUCUUAAAAAAUCUCACAAUGCAACACAACUGUAAUACACCAAGCAACCCUACAAUUAUUGACCAGCCAUCCCCCACAGUCCUUGAUUCUACAACUAUCCAAAAGGGUUCCCAUGAAGCAUGCCUUAUUCCAACAUAUCCAACCCAAACUCCCAACCUUGAGGACAAGGUUAUUCCUGUUGGGGUGAGCAAUAAUAGGACCAAAAAUGACAAAAAUAGGCCCAAAUGAAAUUAUUCCAAACCCACCUGGCAGAAGGAUUACAUGAUGGGAUAAUAUAGUUGUUAGAAUACAACCUGUCACUAUACUAGAUCUGACCAGUUUUAUGGUCUAGAUUAAUUUGGUUUAGAUAUUUUAUCCUUCCUUGUUUUUAAGAUGUAAUGAAUGGAGAGACUGGGGAGACGAAAAGUAAUGAAUUAAGUUGUUAUCAAAACUUCCCUCAUUUUUUAUAGAAUAUCUUUGCAACUAUAAUUUCUAUUUAGUUUAAGUCCUAUCAGUAAGCAAUAUGCAAAUGCAAAAGGGAGCAGGGCUAUAUGGAUUAAUUCAAGUGGUACCAAGUGAUCCUGAACCCUUUGCUUAUGACUUUGACAAGAGCAUUAUUCAGAAUGAUUGGUACUACCAGAGUACUCAUGAACAAGCCACUGGAUUGUCUUCAAAUCCUUUUGGUAUGGGUGAGGGACCAUAAUCAUGUGAUUAAUUCUGGAAAAGUGAAGACAAAGCCAAAAUAUCCUGUGUCAGAUACACAUUCUCAACAUAAAUGGCAAUAUUUAAAGAGAAACCAACCAUGAGCCACAAUUGAAGGAAUUUCAAAGGAGAGACUGAUUCAGCCAUGUAGGAAUUCCAAAGAAAUACAAACCAGGGGUCAGUCAUUUCAGUUAUAGUCACAAAUGCAAAACAUGAAUUAAUGUUUCAGUUACAAUCAGUAGUGAUGACCAGAAUAAUCAUGACAUGUUACACAUUUUGGGCAAACCAUCAGACCACCACAAUCAGCUAUAUAAGAACAGCCUACACAUACUAAAAGAGGGCAGAUAUCAAGUGCACGCAAAAACAUAUACCACAUAGAGAGACAAGCUUAUCACAGAAAGGGAUACCACUCAUACACCUACAACUCUAAAAAGGGAUACAAGAUAGGGCAACCAGAGAGCAUAUAAUACACUGAAAGCAUAUAGAUAUGCACAUACAACACCCAUACCAUGAAGACAUGCAUAACACAGAUCAUAAGACACUCAUACCACACAACAUAGACACACCAUACGAGAAUCAGAAAGCAACAUCACACAAGGAACUCAUAUACCACAAAUCACACAUUCAACACAUAUACAGAGUAAAAAUCAGAUUACUCAGGAAAAUUAGAGAUAUCGACAUACUGAUCACGCAUAAUACAACAAAGAGCAUACACAGAUACACGCAUAUCACCACAUACAUAGAGGCAGAGCCUCUGUAUACAGAGAACCAACACUCAGAAGGACAAAGGAAGAGAGCAUACACUCAGGUAAGCAUUCAAACCAUAAAAAACAAUGUUUUAUAUGAGCCAUGACCAUCAAGGCAUACACACAUAUCAAAUAAACAUAUCAGCUUUUGUAUGGUCUAUGUACUAGACUUAUAUGCUUAAUUGAUAAAUGUUUCUAAUCGACCAUACACACUAGUUUCAACAGAACAUAUAUAUGCUUAAUUAAAAAUGAAAUAGAUGAAAACAAACAGUGCAUUGCCAUAACCUUAAGGCUAGAUAAUGUGAUUUAUGUCCAGUUUAGCUUUUAACCCAAAUCUAUUUUCACAUACAUAACACCAAUCAUUUCCUAGAAAUGCAUAUACAUAUACUAGAUUAGAACAUAAGUAAACCUUAAAAGCUUGGGAGAACAUGAUUGAAAUCUGUUUUUGUUUACAUGUCACCACCAAUUAGUACAUGCUCUAAGAUUAAGCAAAAUUUCAAUAGAAAAGGGAUACGAUGCCUUGCCAAACUCCGUUAUCACUACCGAUUUGGAACCCAUUGUCUUAGUUGGUCCAUGUGAGUAUGAGGGGCUGUGAAGAAUAAGAAGGGCAUAUCAAAAGAUGAAGAUUCAGGGUUAUGGAAAUAUGAUAUAAAAUUAGGGAAGAUGACUACCUUCUGGCAACCACCAUUUCGGGAUAAGGAAACUCAGUUCGUGGGGAGCCAUACCUUCGCCGAAGAAGAGCUUACCCACGGGAAAGAAAAUAAUGGAGAAAUAUUUCUCUUCAAUAUUCCCUCUUGAAGUAGGGAUGAAGAUUCCAUGCCAUGGGAGAUGCCUUCAAUCGAUAACCAUCGUGAUUCCCCAGGGAGAAUGCAAAAAAUGGAAUUAGGGAUCCCAAUCCCCCUCGUCACAAAGGCGAUGGAGAAGAGAAUGGGGACGUCGGCAUUGAGACAUCACCGUCACCAUUGACGGCAUUGCUCAUCGCCGUCGCUGCCUUUUGCUGUCGCCGUCGCUGCCUUUCGCUGUCGCCGUCGCUGCUGAAAUUGGUGAGGGAGUAGGAGAUGAGGGUUAGGGAUUCUUUCCCUGGUUAUGGUCGUGAAUUGGGGGUGUCCCCUUUGCAUUAU
rnacentral:lncRNA from 1 species